AGAGGGAGAGAGACAAUGCAGGGAAGGUUUGCAAGGAGGCUUCUCUUAUACGAAACGAAUAAAGAACAAAAAGAUGAGAAAAUUCCACAAAAUGUGAAAAAAGCAAGCAAGAAGAAGCAAUAAUCAGAAGAAAUCAAACAAUGGAGGGUACUGAGUAUUACUGCAACAAUGGUGGGUUUUCAAGAAGAGCAUUUUCGUUAGGGAAGAAGAAAAAUGAGUCUCCAUACUCUUCCAUGUCGUUGAUCAGAUUCAUUUCGUCAUGAGUAUGUAUUUGAUCUGUUUCUUUUAUAAAAAAAGAUUAGUGUAGUGGUAUUGGCAGAAUGGCUCAAUCUCCUUGUCACUCAUUAUCACGUUUUACACUCUUGUUUUCCUCUCUUGAUUUUAUUUUUGAUGUAUGAUUUUCAUACUUCAUUUAUCAAGCAAAUUAAAUAA